GUCUGUUCCGUCGUUUGUCCGCGAUCGCACGCAACUUUUGGGGUGGCUCGCGCGCUUCAACCUUAACAGCAGAGGGGACCCGAACAUUUUUUGGACAUUUUCGUUUUUGGACUUUUGAAUUACAAAUGGACUUUUGCUCAUUUACGUUUUUCGGAUAGUGCGCGGGCACGGAAUUGACCGUGAGAACUGGCCGGCUUCCGGUGGAAAUAAACAUUGGUCUGGAUUCGCGCAGUGGAAAAUAUGCAAAUCUGUGAUUAGGAGUUGAAGAGUGGGGUUUUGUGAUCCGAAGGGGGAUAAUACAAAAAGUGUAACGGAAGAAAUUUGUCACUUUGAAGAGUUGGUGAUUCCGGAGAAAACAAAUUCCCACCAGAACACAUCUCCAAGCCGAUUGCGUGCAAUGUCCGCGCACGCCAACGCUCACGUGUAAUGAAGUGAAUUUAUGAUCGAAUUCGCCGCUGAGGAGCCUGACGCCAACGGCCGCUCAACGAUGUCACCGGGACUGUCGCUAGUUCUUCAAGCUACACAACUACGGCGCCAACGGCUGACAAACGGUUCAAGAGUGCCUUCUUGAUGUGGUGGAAACUAAAUUGAAGUAAUUAGGGAUCUUCCUCUGCGCUCUUUCUGCAACGGAUCUCCGCGGAAGAUUAUCUUACGGUAUUGAGGUAACACAAUCACACAAAUAAAAAAAACGAGAACACCUGGGCGAGUGAAAAGGAAAGCUGUGCUAAAAAGAGACGGGGGCAGGUUAAGUUAGUGAUUUUUUAAUUAGCCCAGACCCUGAAGGUGAAUGUUUUAGUGUGUUUAGUGAGAUUUUAUUGCAAUCUUAAUUUUGCAAAACAAAACCAAAUAAAAGAAGAAAAAGCAAAUAAAAAAUACGAGCAAUGGAGAUUGCGAGGUGUAAAUACAACUUCCGGACCGUUAGUUCAGGGCUAA